rnacentral:rRNA from 1 species
GAUGAACGCUGGCGGCGUGCCUAAUCCAUGCAAGUCGAACGGAGUAUCAGCAAUGGUACUUAGUGGCGAACGGGUGAGUAACGCGUUGGUGACCUGCCCCGAAGCGGGGGAUAACAGACCGAAAGGUUUGCUAAUACCGCAUAAUUUGUCGAGAGUUAGAGCGCUUGACAAGAAAGCCGAAAGGCACUUUGGGAGGGGCCUGCGUCCCAUCAGCUAGUUGGUAAGGUAACGGCUUACCAAGGCGAUGACGGGUAGGGGACCUGAGAGGGUGGGCCCCCACAAUGGAACUGAAACACGGUCCAUACACCUACGGGUGGCAGCAGGAGGGAAUAUUGGUUAAUGUGCGAAAGCGUGAACCAGCAACGCCGCGUGUACGAAGAAGGCCUUCGGGUUGUAAAGUACUUUUCACCGGGAAGGGGAAGGACGGUACCGGUGGAAUAAGUCUCGGCUAACUACGUGCCAGCCGCCGCUGUAA